AGCGGUCCAGCGAGAUGGCGCAGAGGUGCAUGAUGGAGGCCGUGGAGAAGAGCACGUCCAGGUCACAAGUUAUGAUCUAUUUUCAGCUCCUCCACUGAAAUCCUCACCGUGUACUGUCCUGACUUCUUCACAUACUUUGGGUGUCUCGAGGGUCGGCCCAACCCUUAGUUACCAUCGUAACUGCUCCGUCCUGCCCCGGGAUGGCAGUUAGUGGUCUCUCAAUAAAUGCUAUUGGCGUGAGGGAAUAAAUGACUGAAAAUCCA